AAACCAACACCUCAAGUGGUCAGGAUGAUUAUUGGGCCUAAAGCAUCCGUAGCCGGCUCUGUAAGUUUUCGGUUAAAUCUGUACGCUCAACGUACAGGCUGCUGGGAAUACUGCAGAGCUAGGGAGUGGGAGAGGUAGACGGUACUCGGGAGGAAGUGGUAAAAUGCUUUGAUCUCUCGAUGACCACCUGUGGCGAAGGCGGUCUACCAGAACACGUCCGACGGUGAGGGAUGAAAGCUGGGGGAGCAAACCGGAUUAGAAACCCGAGUAGUCC
rnacentral:rRNA from 1 species